UGGAGAUAUAUGGAGGUUCACUCUUUCUUCCUGUUAAUAAUAUUAGGGAUGAUGCUGAACUAUGCCCCAAUUGAUGGAAAAUAACCUCUUCUUAUUGUUCUAUGAAGCUUCUUCUGAUGUAAAUCAUCGUGGGAACUCUGAAGAAUCUGCUACUUCUCCAAGACAUGUUACAUCUAGACCAGACUCAUUCUGAGGAUGUGGAUCAUACAUCAUUUGGUCAGCUGCAAAAUAUGGAUCCACCUGCAGACCUGCUGAAUCUUGUUAAUUAUAUGGAUACUUUCAUAAUAAAAUAGAUGAGCAAUUUGAACCAACUGAGGAAAAUACAAUAGAAACCGUUUGUUCGGAUGCCACGGCCCACGGGAACAAUUAAAGAGAAGCAAGAGUAUGAGGGAUCUGAAGUAGCGUACAAUGAUGAGCCUAUAUAUUCAAAAGACCACAGACAGUCCAUUGAUCCAUUGGUUGUAUAACUUAAGAACAAUCAAACUGAUGGUAUCAAUUAAUGAAAUGGGAACACAAUCUGAUUCUCCAGUUUCGAUGCAGAGAAUUCAUCGCAUUUCAGGAAAGUCAACAAAGAACCAAGUCAUUUUAAUUUGGUGUAUUAUCAAACAUCAAAUAUAGCUGCAGCGACCAAUUUAUACAGUGCUAAUAUGCAUACAAAACAGGGAGAAAUGAAUGAUAAGAUUUUUGUGUAGAUAGGAAAAUUUUGUUUGUGCUGUAUUAUUAUCAAAUAUAUGUUUCAUACAAAAAUAUAGCGAGAGAGAGUGUAUAGGUUUUUUUUGUGAGUGCUUUGCUUCCUUAGAGCUCACGGCAACUAAGAGAUCCACUUUUGACUUUUUCUUGGGCUUUGUAAAUUUUCAUGUGUCUUGUAUAAAAAGAUGAUUUUGUCUUUA